GCCUGGCUAGCUCAAUCGGUAGAGCGUGAGACUCUUAAAACCAGUCAUCUCAAGGUUGUGGGUUCGACCCCCACGUUAGGCU